CGGGGUGCACCAGGCGCGAAACCUCUGCAAUAGGCGAAAGCCUGACAGGGUUACUCUGAGUGAUCUCCGUUAAGGAGAUCUUUUGGCACCUCUAAAAAUGGUGCAGAAUAAGGGGUGGGCAAGUCUGGUGUCAGCCGCCGCGGUAAUACCAGUACCCCGAGUGGUCGGGACGUUUAUUGGGCCUAAAGCAUCCGUAGCCGGUUCUACAAGUCUUCCGUUAAAUCCAGCUGCUUAACAGAUGGGCUGCGGAAGAUACUAUGGAGCUAGGAGGCGGGAGAGGCAAGCGGUACUCGAUGGGUAGGGGUAAAAUCCGUUGAUCCAUUGAAGACCACCAGUGGCGAAGGCGGCUUGCCAGAACGCGCUCGACGGUGAGGGAUGAAAGCUGGGGGAGCAAACCGGAUUAGAUACCCGGGUAGUCCCAGCUGUAAACGAUGCAGACUCGGUGAUGAGUUGGCUACAUGCCAUCUCAGUGCCGCAGGGAAGCCGUUAAGUUUGCCGCCUGGGGAGUACGGUCGCAAGACUGAAACUUAAAGGAAUUGGCGGGGGAGCA
rnacentral:rRNA from 1 species